GACGAACGCUGGCGGCGUGCCUAAUACAUGCAAGUAGAACGCACAGUUUAUACCGUAGCUUGCUACACCAUAGACUGUGAGUUGCGAACGGGUGAGUAACGCGUAGGUAACCUGCCUGGUAGCGGGGGAUAACUAUUGGAAACGAUAGCUAAUACCGCAUAAUAUUAAUUAUUGCAUGAUAAUUGAUUGAAAGGUGCAAAUGCAUCACUACCAGAUGGACCUGCGUUGUAUUAGCUAGUAGGUGAGGUAACGGCUCACCUAGGCGACGAUACAUAGCCGACCUGAGAGGGUGAUCGGCCACACUGGGACUGAGACACGGCCCAGACUCCUACGGGAGGCAGCAGUAGGGAAUCUUCGGCAAUGGACGAAAGUCUGACCGAGCAACGCCGCGUGAGUGAAGAAGGUUUUCGGAUCGUAAAGCUCUGUUGUAAGAGAAGGACGGGUGUGAGAGUGGAAAGUUCACACUGUGACGGUAUCUUACCAGAAAGGGACGGCUAACUACGUGCCAGCAGCCGCGGUAAUACGUAGGUCCCGAGCGUUGUCCGGAUUUAUUGGGCGUAAAGCGAGCGCAGGCGGUUAGAUAAGUCUGAAGUUAAAGGCUGUGGCUUAACCAUAGUACGCUUUGGAAACUGUUUAACUUGAGUGCAGAAGGGGAGAGUGGAAUUCCAUGUGUAGCGGUGAAAUGCGUAGAUAUAUGGAGGAACACCGGUGGCGAAAGCGGCUCUCUGGGUCUGUAACUGACGCUGAAGCUCGAAAGCGUGGGUGAGCGAACGGGAG
rnacentral:rRNA from 1 species